CAAUCCAGGAGGGGAGGUGGUCGGAUGCAGCUGCCGGUUCAUGGAUACCUGUCCGGUGCAUGCAGCGCUGUUGAGCCUGCGCACCUGUAUAGGUUUUGCAUGACCCGGGAGAUGAACCUACCAGCAUCUUUCCCUCGUGCUUG
rnacentral:pre_miRNA from 1 species